GUGAUUAACGCGAAGAACCUUACCUAGGCUUGAAAAGCUUAUGACCGGCUGUGAAAGCAGCUUUCCCGCAAGGGCAUAAGUACAGGUGCUGCAUGGCUGUCGUCAGCUCGUGCCGUGAGGUGUUGGGUUAAGUCCCGCAACGAGCGCAACCCUUACCAUUAGUUGCCACCGGAGCAAUCCGAGCACUCUAAUGGAACUGCCUACGCAAGUAGUGAGGAAGGUGAGGAUGACGUCAAGUCCGCAUGGCCCUUACGCCUAGGGCUACACACGUGCUACAAUGGCCGCCACAACGGGCAGCAAAAUCGCGAGAUGGAGCGAAUCCCUAAAAAGCGGCCUCAGUUCGGAUUGGAGUCUGCAACUCGACUCCAUGAAGUUGGAAUUGCUAGUAAUCGCGUAUCAGCAUGACGCGGUGAAUACGUUCCCGGGCCUUGUACACACCGCCCGU
rnacentral:rRNA from 2 species